AAAGAGGGUGAAAAGACCUGAAACCGUUACGACAGAAGCGUAUUGCGUUGAAUUGAGGGCUGUUUAACUCUUCAGCUGAACGUGAGUUUAGUGUACUGUAGUUAAGUAGUUAUCCGUCGUGCCUUUUCUGUGGCUGAUAUUGAGCCGCGGGAGAGGGAGGGAUCCCCUUUAUGGGUGAGGACGAUGGAGUGGCAACGCGAUGCGACCCGUCUUGAAACACGGACCAAGGAGUCUAACAUGUUUGCGAGUUGAAGGGUAGUAAACCUGGAGGCGCAGUGAAAGCGAACUUCUAAAACGGACAGUUUGUGGCGGCAUAAAAUCGUUGAUUUUAGGUCUGACUAAGAGCAAAUAUGUUAGGACCCGAAAGAUGGUGAACUAUGCUUGAGUAGGCCGAAGGCAGAAGAAAUUCUGCUGGAGGGCCGAAGCGGUGCUGACGUGCAAAUCGCUCGUCGAACUCGAGUAUAGGGGCGAAAGACUAAUCGAACCAUCUAGUAGCUGGUUCCCUCCGAAGUUUCUCUCAGGAUAGCGGGCCGACAAUUAUUGUUUUGUGCGGUAAAGCGAAUGAUUAGCG
rnacentral:rRNA from 1 species